AGCGAACGCUGGCGGCAGGCCUAACACAUGCAAGUCGAGCGCUGUAGCAAUACGGAGCGGCAGACGGGAGAGUAACACGUGGGAACGUACCCUUCAGUACGGAACAACCAAGGGAAACUUUGGCUAAUACCGUUUACGUCCGUAAGGAGAAAGAUUUAUCGCUGAAGGAUCGGCCCGCGUCUGAUUAGCUAGUUGGUGAGGUAACGGCUCACCAAGGCGACGAUCAGUAGCUGGUCUGCGAGGCUGAUCAGCCUCCCUGGGACUGAGACACGGCCCAGACUCCUACGGGAGGCAGCAGUGGGGAAUAUUGGACAAUGGGCGCAAGCCUGAUCCAGCCAUGCCGCGUGGGUGAUGAAGGCCCUAGGGUUGUAAAGCCCUUUCGGCGGGGAAGAUAAUGACGGUACCCGCAGAAGAAGCCCCGGCUAACUUCGUGCCAGCCGCCGCAGUAACAC
rnacentral:rRNA from 1 species